CUCCGGGUUGAUCCUGCCGGACCCGACUGCUAUCAGAGUGGGACUAAGCCAUGCGAGUCAACAUAGCAAUAUGUGGCAUACGGCUCAGUAACACGUAGUCAACAUGCCCAGGGGACGUGGAUAACCUCGGGAAACUGAGGAUAAACCGCGAUAAGUCACUACUUCUGGAAUGGGUAAUGACUCAAAUCUACAUGGCCCCUGGAUUGGACUGCGGCCGAUCAGGCUGUUGGUGAGGUAAUGGCCCACCAAACCUGUAACCGGUACGGGCUCUGAGAGGAGGAGCCCGGAGAUGGGCACUGAGACAAGGGCCCAGGCCCUAUGGGGCGCAGCAGGCGCGAAACCUCUGCAAUAGGCGAAAGCCUGACAGGGUUACUCUGAGUGAUUUCCGUUAAGGAGAUCUUUUGGCACCUCUAAAAAUGGUGCAGAAUAAGGGGUGGGCAAGUCUGGUGUCAGCCGCCGCGGUAAUACCAGCACCCCGAGUGGUCGGGACGUUUAUUGGGCCUAAAGCAUCCGUAGCCGGUUCUACAAGUCUUCCGUUAAAUCCACCUGCUUAACAGAUGGGCUGCGGAAGAUACUAUAGAGCUAGGAGGCGGGAGAGGCAAGCGGUACUCGAUGGGUAGGGGUAAAAUCCGUUGAUCCAUUGAAGACCACCAGUGGCGAAGGCGGCUUGCCAGAACGCGCUCGACGGUGAGGGAUGAAAGCUGGGGGAGCAAACCGGAUUAGAUACCCGGGUAGUCCCAGCUGUAAACGAUGCAGACUCGGUGAUGAGUUGGCUUCUUGCCAACUCAGUGCCGCAGGGAAGCCGUUAAGUUUGCCGCCUGGGGAGUACGGUCGCAAGACUGAAACUUAAAGGAUUGGCGGGGGAGCA
rnacentral:rRNA from 1 species